GUAACCUGUUUUUUUACCCUCUGCACAUGCGCAGAAGGCUUUGCGCAUGCAUCAGAGGGUCCAAAAUCGCAUUACCAAACCGGUAGGGAAGGCCUUGCUUCUGAGGCAAAUUCAUCGUAAGGCCAUGAGUGUUGGCGUGCAGAUGGCAAGCUGAGAUUAAACCCAACGGAGGCCUCGCUAACCCUGGUGCCGAUGGAGAUGGUUAUCGAGCUCGUGAGCAAAGAAUAUAUCUUCACCCAGCAAGAUUGCAGAUAAAAUUAUGAAUAUCGGUAGAAGACUGACACGUGGUAGAUCCGAGAAGAGUGCUGGUUUCCACGCUAACAAAAUGGCUACAGAAUAUGGCAGCAAUGGACCUGUGAGACUCAAUCAGAGAAUGAGGAGGAUCCCAUCUUGCUGCCCUUGCUCGGCAAGGAGGCCAAGCCAAGGACCACAGUCUCU